AUAGGAGUAUUUCCCUCCUACAAUUGAUUCUAUAUAUAAAUAAAUCAAAGUUUAAGUUGCAAAAUAAAUAUUAUAAAUAGAAUAAUUUUUUUCUACCUUAGUAUACAUAAAACACAUUUUUUCAAUCAAAUAAUUAAAUUUUUUUUUCAAAUGAUUGAGAAAAUGUUCUGGUUGAAGGUACCACAAGAGAUGUGAAUGAAAUUAGUUGAAUCGAUGCAAAAACGAGUUUUUCUUGCUAUAAAAACAAAGGCGGAAAUUUUAAAUAUUAAUUUUGCAUUUUUUGUUUGUUUUUAAAAAUUUGUUUAAACUUUUGUGCUACUCAUUUUUCACAUGUGUAUUUUUAUAAGCAACUUUUUUUAAAUUAAUAUAAAUAAUUUCAUAACAAGUUCACAUUUAUUGUAAACCUAAUUACUUUUUCUAUAAUAAAUAAAAAAUGAAGUUGAGAUCAUUUUUACUUUUUUUUUAUUAAGAAAAAACAAAAUCUACUUGAUCAAAAUUACACCCUCGUUUAAACUUUCGUUAAUAGCUGUAUAAAAGAUCUAGUAAUAAUUUUAUCUAAAAAAUAUAGUUGGAAAGAUCAAGUUGUUGAUGCGACAAAUGCAAAUAAAAUAGUUUUGAUUACCAGUAUGGUAUCUAUGCAUCUUAAAGUUGAAUGAGUGCAACAUAUAGUCAACAAACUGGUUAAAUUGAUUAGUUGUUUAAGAUAUAACAAUUCAAAAGACAACACAGACCAAAAGAAUAAAGAGCAGAGUUAUGUCUCCAGCUAUACCUAUGCUCUGAAAAAUUUUGUGCAAAAAAAAAAAUUAUACAGAACUCACCAUACAGUCUGCCUAAAAUCAUAAUAAAAUUUACCGUUUUAAACAAAGAGAAAUAACAAUUAACAAAGAUACAACUACUAAAAAUAAUCUGUAAACUAUUUAACUAAUCUUUGUCUUCUUAUAACUUGUUA